UUCCGUAGGUGAACCUGCGGAAGGAUCAUUCGCACAAAGAAUUUUCUAUUCCACCCGCCACGCACCAUACAGUGCAACCUGUUUUAUCAUUAGGAAUUUUUCCAACUCAUCGAUGUUGCAAUCUCAUUGUAAUGUUUACGAUGUUAUUUAUCUCUUGCAUCGACGAAUGCCUUGGCUCGAGGAUCGUUGAAGGACGCAGCGAACUGUGCUAAACAUCUCGAAUUGCAGAUUUCCGAGAAAGAAAAGGAUUCUGAACGCAUUCUGCGAGUUGACCUCGUGUUAACUCACGUGAUUGGCGGUGACCGCAAUAUGCAGUCGCUCGAACUCCGAAGUUUGAGUGGUGUUCACAUGUUGUCGCAGAUUGUUGCGCCGACAUGUUCGUGGAAUUCGACGCGCCUCUCGUUUUCGAGCAGCAUUAUGAUUUCGUGUCAUGAUGUUCGAACUCAGAGACGUUUCCUUUGUUUGGUUUCCAAACAUUUUUUCUACGCACGCUCACGACCAGUCACGGGAUUACCCGCUGAAUUUGAGCAUAUCAAUAAGCGGAGG
rnacentral:rRNA from 1 species